rnacentral:siRNA from 1 species
UCGACGAUGUCAGCGUUCCUUA